rnacentral:rRNA from 1 species
UACGUAGGGGGCAAGCGUUGUCCGGAUUUAUUGGGCGUAAAGAGCGUGUAGGCGGCCAGACAGGUCCGUUGUGAAAACUGGAGGCUCAACCUCCAGACGUCGAUGGAAACCGGCUGGCUAGAGUCCGGAAGAGGAGAGUGGAAUUCCUGGUGUAGCGGUGAAAUGCGCAGAUAUCAGGAAGAACACCCGUGGCGAAAGCGGCUCUCUGGGACGGUACUGACGCUGAGACGCGAAAGCGUGGGGAGCGAACAGG